AUUGAACGCUGGCGGCAGGCCUAACACAUGCAAGUCGAACGGUAACAGGAAGCAGCUUGCUGCUUUGCUGACGAGUGGCGGACGGGUGAGUAAUGUCUGGGAAACUUCCCGAGGGAGGGGGAUAACUACUGGAAACGGUAGCUAAUACCGCAUAACGUCGCAAGACCAAAGAGGGGGACCUUAGGGCCUCUUGUCAUCGGAUGUGCCCAGAUGGGAUUAGCUAGUAGGUGGGGUAACGGCUAACCUAGGCGACGAUCCCUAGCUGGUCUGAGAGGAUGACCAGGCAGCCUGGAACUGAGAAACGGUCCAGACUCCUACGGGAGGCAGCAGUGGGGACUCUUGCGCGAUGGGGGAAAGCCUGAUGCAGCCAUGCCGGGUGUAUGAAGAAGGCCUUAGGCUUGUAAAGUACUUUCAGCGGGGAGAAAGGGAGAAAAGUUAAUACCUUUGCUCAUUGACGUUACCCGCAGAAGAAGCCCCGGCUAACUCCGUG
rnacentral:rRNA from 1 species